GACGAACGCUGGCGGCGUGCUUAACACAUGCAAGUCGAACGGAAGGGCCUCUUUCGGGGGGUACUCGAGUGGCGAACGGGUGAGUAACACGUGAGUAACCUGCCCUUGACUUUGGGAUAACUUCAGGAAACUGGGGCUAAUACCGGAUAGGAGCUCCUGCUGCAUGGUGGGGGUUGGAAAGUUUCGGCGGUUGGGGAUGGACUCGCGGCUUAUCAGCUUGUUGGUGGGGUAGUGGCAUACCAAGGCUUUGACGGGUAGCCGGCCUGAGAGGGUGACCGGCCACAUUGGGACUGAGAUACGGCCCAGACUCCUACGGGAGGCAGCAGUGGGGAAUAUUGCACAAUGGGUGGAAGCCUGAUGCAGCAACGCCGUGUGCGGGAUGACGGCCUUCGGGUUGUAAACCGCUUUCGCUCAUGACGAAGCUUUGUGUGACGGUAGUGGGUAAAGAAGCACCGGCUAACUACGUG
rnacentral:rRNA from 1 species